AUUUCAUCUGUUAACAGUAUCUGCACUGACGAGGACAAAAAUAAAAGCAAAUCAGGGUCCAAAAUCAAAAUAAGGGAAUAUAAAAAUACAAACGUCUUCUUGAAAAUGAAAUCCUAUUCUGCAACAUUUAUGUGUACAAACAUGAGCUGUAACUCUCUAGACAGACACAUGCCGGCAAAUUGUAACGCAGCUCAAUACUUAUACAAUCAAAAUUACAUUUCAGGAAUUCUAAACUACCACUACUAUCCAGUGAACUUAGUGCAUGUGCAUAACUUUUUUCAGGCACCUGAUGCAGCUUUGGUAGCAAGUAAACAGACAAUGAGCUGUGCUUUAAUUCUCAAUACAACAUUCUAAAUUAUUGUGUGAAUCAUGCCUAAAAUAAAUAUAUUAAGCAACAGGUGCAAUCAUGCAUACAACUGAUUAAAACUCUUAAUAAUUAAUAAAUAAUUUCUUACAGAAACUUUAUGAUGGAAUACCACAUCAGUGUGAGGCAGACAUCAUCACAUGUAAACAUUAUUAAUGCAUAGAUCUAUAUUGCAAGUACUUGACUGAUUAUGGCAAAAAGUUGUACCUUCAUUGCAAAGAGAUUUACCAGCAACAACAUAAGUUGCUGAGACACCACCACCUU